UACGUAGGUGGCAAGCGUUGUCCGGAUUUAUUGGGUUUAAAGGGUGCGUAGGCGGUUUUUUAAGUCAGUGGUGUAAUACUUCAGCUUAACUGGAGAGGUGCCAUUGAUACUGGGAAACUUGAGUACUGAUGAGGUAGGCGGAAUGGACGGUGUAGCGGUGAAAUGCUUAGAUAUCGUCCAGAACACCGAUAGCGAAGGCAGCUUACUAAGGAGUAACUGACGCUGAGGCACGAAAGUGUGGGGAUCAAACAGG
rnacentral:rRNA from 1 species